GACAGAGGGUGCAAACGUUGUUCGGAAUCACUGGGCGUAAAGCGCACGUAGGCGGCUUUCUAAGUCAGGGGUGAAAUCCUGGAGCUCAACUCCAGAACUGCCUUUGAUACUGAGGAUCUUGAGUUCGGGAGAGGUGAGUGGAACUGCGAGUGUAGAGGUGAAAUUCGUAGAUAUUCGCCAAGAACACCAGUGGCGAAAGGCGGCUCACUGGCCCGAUACUGACGCUGAGGCACGAAAGCGUGGGGAGCAAACAGG
rnacentral:rRNA from 1 species